rnacentral:rRNA from 1 species
UACAGAGGGGGCUAGCGUUAUUCGGAAUUAUUGGGCGUAAAGGGCGCGUAGGCGGCCAUGCGUGUCUUCCGUGAAAUCCCUCGGCUUAACUGAGGACGUGCGGAAGAAACUGCAAGGCUCGAGUCCGGGAGAGGGGGGUGGAAUUCCCAGUGUAGCGGUGAAAUGCGUAGAUAUCGUUAGGGACGCCAAUGGUGAAAACAGGUAGCUGGGGGUGUGCUGACACUGAGACACGAAAGCCAGGGGAGCAAACGGG